UGACCUCAAAUCAGGUAGGACUACCCGCUGAACUUAAGCAUAUCAAUAAGCGGAGGAAAAGAAACUAACAAGGAUUCCCCUAGUAACUGCGAGUGAAGCGGGAAAAGCUCAAAUUUAAAAUCUGGCAGUCCUUUAACUGCCCGAGUUGUAAUCUAGAGAAGUGUUAUCUGCGCUGGACCAUGUACAAGUCUUCUGGAAUGGAGCAUCAUAGAGGGUGAGAAUCCCGUCUUUGACAUGGACUGCCAGGGCUUUGUGAUGCACUCUCAAAGAGUCGAGUUGUUUGGGAAUGCAGCUCAAAAUGGGUGGUAAAUUCCAUCUAAAGCUAAAUAUUGGCAAGAGACCGAUAGUGAACAAGUACCGUGAGGGAAAGAUGAAAAGAACUUUGGAAAGAGAGUUAAACAGUAUGUGAAAUUGCUGAAAGGGAAACACUUGAAGUCAGUCACAUUGUCCAGGGAUCAUCCCUUGCUUUUGCUUGGUGUACUUUCUGGUUGAUGGGUCAGCAUCAAUUUUGACUAUUGGAAAAAGGUUGAGGGAAUGUGGCAUCUUAGGAUGUGUUAUAGCCCUUGGUUGCAUACAAUAGUUGGGAUUGAGGAACUCAGCAUGCCGCAAGGCCGGGUUUUUUUUUACAAAAAACCACGUACAUGCUUAGGAUGCUGC
rnacentral:rRNA from 2 species